AGUGAGCGCUGGCGGUAGGCCUAACACAUGCAAGUCGAACGGCAGCACAGUAAGAGCUUGCUCUUACGGGUGGCGAGUGGCGGACGGGUGAGGAAUACAUCGGAAUCUACUUUUUCGUGGGGGAUAACGUAGGGAAACUUACGCUAAUACCGCAUACGACCUACGGGUGAAAGCAGGGGAUCUUCGGACCUUGCGCGAUUGAAUGAGCCGAUGUCGGAUUAGCUAGUUGGCGGGGUAAAGGCCCACCAAGGCGACGAUCCGUAGCUGGUCUGAGAGGAUGGUCAGACACACUGGAACUGAGACACGGUCCAGACUCCUGCGGGAGGCAGCAGUGGAGAAUAUUAGACAAUGGGCGCGAGCCUGAUACAGCCAUACCGCGUGGGUGAAGAAGGCCUUCUGGUUGUAAAGCCCUUUUGUUGGGAAAGAAAAGCAGCAGGUUAAUACCCCGCUGUUCUGACGGUACCCAAAGAAUAAGCACCGGCUAACUUCGUG
rnacentral:rRNA from 1 species